rnacentral:piRNA from 1 species
UACCAUCCUUGCCCCCGGGAACCAUG